UGCAUUUGUAGCUCAUGAGGAUGAGAACCUCCGGGGGCGGGGAGGUUCGACUCGAGCGAAGCGAGAGAACGUUGCGCCAGCAACGGCCCGCAGGGCGAGCCACG
rnacentral:sRNA from 1 species